UAGUCCACGCUGUAAACGAUGAUAACUAGCCGUUGGGGAUCUUAGAAUUUUCAGUGGCGCAGCUAACGCGAUAAGUUAUCCGCCUGGGGAGUACGGUCGCAAGAUUAAAACUCAAAGGAAUUGACGGGGGCCCGCACAAGCGGUGGAGCAUGUGGUUUAAUUCGACGCAACGCGCAGAACCUUACCAACCCUUGACAUCCUGUGCUACAUCCAGAGAUGGAUCGUUCCUUUCGGGGACGCAGUGACAGGUGCUGCAUGGCUGUCGUCAGCUCGUGUCGUGAGGUGUUCGGUUAAGUCCGGCAACGAGCGCAACCCACAUCUUUAGUUGCCAGCAUUUAGUUGGGCACUCUAAAGAAACUGCCCGUGAUAAGCGGGAGGAAGGUGUGGGAUGACGUCAAGUCCUCAUGGGCCCUUACGGGGUUGGGGCUACACACGUGCUACAAUGGGCAGUGACAAUGGGGUUAAU
rnacentral:rRNA from 1 species